CCUACGGGUGGCAGCAGUGGGGGAUAUUGCACAAUGGAGGAAACUCUGAUGCAGCGACGCCGCGUGAGGGAAGACGGUCUUCGGAUUUUAAACCUCUUUCUUUGGGGAAGAAAAUGACGGUACCCAAAGAGGAAGCUCCGGCUAACUACGUGCCAGCAGCCGCGGUAAUACGUAGGGAGCGAGCGUUGUCCGGAAUGAGUGGGUGUAAAGGGGGCGUAGGCGGGGGAGAAAGUUAGAUGUUAAAUCUACCGGCUUAACUGGUAGCUGCGUUCGAAACUUCUUGUCUUGAGUGAAUUAGAGGCAGGCGGAAUUCCUGGUGUAGCGGUGAAAUGCGUAGAUAUUAGGAGGAACACCAGUGGCGAAGGCGGCCUGCUGGGCUUUAACUGACGCUGAGGCUCGAAAGCGUGGGGAGCAAACAGGAUUAGAUACCCGGGUAGUC
rnacentral:rRNA from 1 species